CAAAGUUUUGUUGUCAGUGCCGGGUUGAUGAAAAUGACUAUCACUAAAACUAAGUUUUGAAAAAAAAUAUUGUGAUCUAUUGCAUACUUCUCUGCACCAGGGUCUAUGUAUCACAUGUAUACAAAAGUUUUUUUUUUUUUGUAAGAAGGCAUUCAUAUUAAAUAGAGCAAAAGAAACAAAAUAUUACAAACCCAUUGGUUUAAGA
rnacentral:lncRNA from 1 species